rnacentral:lncRNA from 1 species
UAUAAUUCAACUCCAUAGGAUUUUUCUUUCUUCUAAUAACUGAAAAAAAUAGGUAGGCAGGGGUGAGCGCCAAACUCAAUGAGUAGGGUUAGAUAACCUUCUCACCCCACACAAUCAUACAAAUGCUAAAAUAUUUUUUUUUUGCUCACCGAUUAACUUUAUGAUCACACAGAUGCUAAAAUAUUUUAUUUGGUCCCCGAUUAAUUUUAUGAUUAUGCAGUGUCACACAAAUGGCAAUAUAUCAGCAAUCACAAAUAUCAUCAUCUUCAUAUAAUCAUAUCACGUGGAGAUUGGUCAGUGGAGUCACCUAAACCCGAUGAGCCGUCCUCCCACAUGGCCCAUCCACUCACAUGUGCACCAGGGAGCCAAUCCCCUAUUCUGGCUGGCUGGUAUAAUCCUCACACUGCUGGUCCUCUGAUUAUUUUCCCAAUCUCUCUCUCUUUUUCUUAUAUUAUUAUUAUUUUUUUAAAAAAAAACAAAUACCGACAGGAGGCAACCCGGUCGUCUCCAUCAAAUAGAGAUCAUCAGGCGCUCAAGCAGUAGGCCACCCUGCUAGCUUCGAUCAGAUCUAAAUUAUCAGGUGCGCCCAAAUAAAGAAGCCAACCUGUGGUUUUCCAGAAUAUACAGAUCAGAACAAUAGGUGCACAUGGGGGCGCCGAUCUCCCAUUUACCCGGCUAACAGAAAUCAGAAUCAGGAUCCAUAUAACGGUAACGGUCUCACAAACCCAUGGUGACCCACUUCAUCCCAAUUCCACACAAACAGGGCACAGCAAUAUCACAUCACAAAUAAUCACGUAAUAUUUAAUAUCAACAAAUAAUGCAGCACAAUAUGGCCAUAAUGCAUGAUAACAUUUAGCCGUGAAUGCAUGAAUGCAGGCGGAUGAUACUAGUUAUCUAACAACUACUCACAGUUCUUUAUUGUCCUUUAGAAGGACUGUCUUUUUAGCCGAAUGCUUCCAGCUUUUGUCCUUGCAUUUUGUAUUUUAU